UACGGGGGGGGCAAGCGUUGUUCGGAAUUACUGGGCGUAAAGGGCUCGUAGGCGGCCAACUAAGUCAUACGUGAAAUCCCUCGGCUUAACCGGGGAACUGCGUCUGAUACUGGAUGGCUUGAGUUCGGGAGAGGGAUGCGGAAUUCCAGGUGUAGCGGUGAAAUGCGUAGAUAUCUGGAGGAACACCGGUGGCGAAGGCGGCAUCCUGGACCGACACUGACGCUGAGGCGCGAAAGCUAGGGGAGCAAACGGG
rnacentral:rRNA from 1 species